ensembl:lncRNA
CCUCAGCCUGCGCAUGAAGGACGUGCCCGGUACUGCCGGCGCUCUGACCGCUGCCCGACGACCUCACGCUGGUCACACUGCCAGAGCUACCCAGACUGCUGCGGUCUCCACCUGUAACACACACACACACACACACGCGCGCACACACAAAAACACACACAUGCAUUCACACCACACUUACCUGCCACUGACUUGCGCAGAACCCAGAUCUCUUCGUUGGAGCCUCCGUGGGGCCCGCAGCACGCGGCGGGGGGGCUGUGAGGACUGGCCUCUGAGCCGCGACAACCUUCAACACAGAACACCACUGUUAGCCGCUAACCGACCCUAAGCUGGCCGCUAGUAGCAUCGCUGCCCUGUUGCUGUCCAAUCCGACUACUUACACCAGCGAAAACUCAUGUUUCUUUCAUCAUUUAUUUUUUUGUCGAACUUUGGGGCAGCUGAAUAUACAACGUUGGUAAAUGAUUAGCUGAUGCGGCUAACGUAUUAGCAAACCUUUGGCAACGUCAGCACUAGUUUGACGAUGUGUAUCUGCCAAGGUGGUGAAUUGAAGUCAAAUGUUGCCUUUUAGCUCUGUUUUGGUCACCGGCAAUUCAUUCAUGUUCAACUCUUUAGCUGAUAAUUGCUCCGCUUUGUUCACUGUUUUUUUGCUCUUCGGAUUUGGUAGAACUGAGUAGAAUGGAAACUUGACCAAUCUUACAUUACACAUCCAUUGUUCAGAUAAAUAUAUUGUAGCUUUAAAGUGAGGCUGAAACUAGCGUUUAUUUAUAGCUUAAAAACAUGUAACACGAUAACAAAACCGGUGUAGUUCAGAACAAUGACAGUUAUUUAAUAUUUAUAAUUAGGCUUUGUCACAUAGUGGUAGUAAAACGAUAUUGAGCAUUGAAACUGUAAAAUUUAAAAAUAUACUGAGUCUCUCUCCACUGACGACAGAUCACAGCCGAUGUCGGGAUCAUUUUAGACGGAAAAAUUUGAAACUGGGGAAUUUAAUAAAUUACUCGCAGAAAGAACACUUAUUUCUUAUAUUUGUUAUUACGAUUGUUUUAAAGGGCUAUUUAAGUUUCACUUACACGCCACACUUACACCCUCACAUACGUGCUCGCACACGCACACGCACACACAGAAAGAAAUACAGCAUAUAUAUAUAUAUAUAUAGAUAGAUUUAUGGAACAUUUAUAUACCUGAUGUACAUAAAUAGAUCCAUAACAUGAAUAUCUGUGAAGAUACACAUAUAUGCCAUAAUGUACAUACAUAUACAUAUAUAAUACAGCCAUAUGUGUGUGAUUAUAUAUGUAAGCCUUGUCAGAAUGGGGCUGCUGUAGUGCAUUUGGAGAUAAACCAUUACUACCAUCAUACUAAUGGUUUAUGAAUAGUUUAAAUAUGUGACCAACAUUGCUCCCAAGAAACACACACAUAGAAAACAUUUCUGUUCCGUUUGCUCUCGUGUAAUGUCGCAGCUCCUUCUUGUGGCCGUCUCGCAUCCCUCCAAGUGGACGGAGCAAAACGAAGGACUCAAGUGCGUCUUCAGGGACUCUGAUUAUUCUGCGAUUGUUUUGUACGUUACGGCCAGUGAGCAGCUGACCUGCAGAACAUCCUGGUGACAUUUUCUCACCGUGCUUCCGGGUCUCUGACACUCUAACACUUGACAUUUUGCAAGUAUUUGCAUGUACUAUCAGCAUUUUUUUCUAAUACAUUACAUUCAAGAGUCCAACAAUUAGAUUUAUUUCAGCUACGAUAUCUUACUGGAUCUUUGAAAAUGUCACCCGUUACUGCCUGACAAAGCUUUUCUGAAGCAGCAACUAAACAUCUGCCGACUCAACUGUCAAUAAAGCGACAACAGAAAGUAAAGGUAUAUUUUUUUCCAAAGUCAUAACAACAAUAUUAAUUGGUAUUGUUUCCAAUUGUUAAU